rnacentral:rRNA from 1 species
GACGAACGCUGGCGGCGUGCCUAAUACAUGCAAGUCGAACGGUUUAGUUCCAAGAGGCUUGCCUUUUGGAACUAGACAGUGGCGGACGGGUGAGUAACACGUAGGCAACCUACCUGUCAAACCGGGAUAACCUCGGGAAACCGAAGCUAAACCCGGAUAAGCUCCUUUUUCGCAUGAAGGGGGAGUGAAAAGGUGCGACCUGAUGACAGAUGGGCCUGCGGCGCAUUCGCUAGUAGGUAGGGUAACGGCCUACCUAGGCGAUGAUGCGUAGCCGACCUGAGAGGGCGUACGGCCACACUGGGACUGAGAUACGGCCCAGACUCCUACGGGAGGCAGCAGUAGGGAAUCUUCGGCAAUGGGCGAAAGCCUGACCGAGCAACGCCGCGUGAGUGAGGAAGGCCUUCGGGGUGUAAAACUCUGUUGUUUGGGAAGAAGGGAAAGGGUAGGACCCUUUGGUGACGGUACCAAACGAGAAAGCCCCGGCUAACUACGUG